rnacentral:rRNA from 1 species
UACGGAGGGGGCUAGCGUUGUUCGGAAUUACUGGGCGUAAAGGGCGCGUAGGCGGCCUGUUAAGUCGAACGUGAAAUCCCCGGGCUCAACCCGGGAACUGCGUCCGAUACUGGCAGGCUUGAAUUCGGGAGAGGGAUGCGGAAUUCCAGGUGUAGCGGUGAAAUGCGUAGAUAUGCGGAGGAACACCGAUGGCGAAGGCAAUCCCCUGGACCUGUACUGACGCUCAUGCACGAAAGCGUGGGGAGCAAACAGG